GAUUGACUAAGGUUUCCAGAGGAAGGCUCGUCCGCUCUGGGUUAGUCGGGUCCUAAGCUGAGGCCGACAGGCGUAGGCGAUGGAUAACAGGUUGAUAUUCCUGUACCACCUAUAAUCGUUUUAAUCGAUGAGGGGACGCAGUAGGAUAGGCGAAGCGUGCGAUUGGAUUGCACGUCUAAGCAGUAAGGCUGAGUAUUAGGCAAAUCCGGUACUCGUUAAGGCUGAGCUGUGAUGGGGAGAAGACAUUGAGUCUUCGAGUCGUUGAUUUCACACUGCCGAGAAAAGCCUCUAGAUAGAAAAUAGGUGCCCGUACCGCAAACCGACACAGGUAGUCAAGAUGAGAAUUCUAAGGUGAGCGAGCGAACUCUCGUUAAGGAACUCGGCAAAAUGACCCCGUAACUUCGGGAGAAGGGGUGCUCUUUAGGGUUAACGCCCAGAAGAGCCGCAGUGAAUAGGCCCAAGCGACUGUUUAUCAAAAACACAGGUCUCUGCUAAACCGUAAGGUGAUGUAUAGGGGCUGACGCCUGCCCGGUGCUGGAAGGUUAAGAGGAGUGGUUAGCUUCUGCGAAGCUACGAAUCGAAGCCCCAGUAAACGGCGGCCGUAACUAUAACGGUCCUAAGGUAGCGAAAUUCCUUGUCGGGUAAGUUCCGACCCGCACGAAAGGCGUAACGAUUUGGGCACUGUCUCAACGAGAGACUCGGUGAAAUCAUAGUACCUGUGAAGAUGCAGGUUACCCGCGACAGGACGGAAAGACCCCGUGGAGCUUUACUGUAGCCUGAUAUUGAAAUUCGGCACAGCUUGUACAGGAUAGGUAGGAGCCUUUGAAACGUGAGCGCUAGCUUACGUGGAGGCGCUGGUGGGAUACUACCCUAGCUGUGUUGGCUUUCUAACCCGCACCACUUA
rnacentral:rRNA from 1 species